rnacentral:rRNA from 1 species
UUAAAUUGAAGAGUUUGAUCAUGGCUCAGAUUGAACGCUGGCGGCAGGCCUAACACAUGCAAGUCGGACGGUAGCACAGAGAGCUUGCUCUCGGGUGACGAGUGGCGGACGGGUGAGUAAUGUCUGGGGAUCUGCCCGAUAGAGGGGGAUAACCACUGGAAACGGUGGCUAAUACCGCAUAACGUCGCAAGACCAAAGAGGGGGACCUUCGGGCCU